GGUCGGAAAGAGUUUAUUCUUAUCAUAACUCCUCACUUCCACAACUAUAAAUAGGCAUCUUCAUAACCUAGAAAAGAGAUUAUAAGUUAUAACAAAAAGCAAGAGAGAGCUCGUUGAUCAAACAAUGCAAAUUCCUCCACAACUUUCAAGCUUCAAGCAAUCAAGUUUAAGCUAAAAAAUGAAGAACAAAUUAAGGUCAAGUUCAAGCAAUCAAGCUAAAGAUCAAGAACAAGAUCAUCGUUCGUGGCAAC
rnacentral:lncRNA from 1 species